rnacentral:rRNA from 1 species
GAUGAACGCUGGCGGCGUGCUUAACACAUGCAAGUCGAACGACGACGCACAGAUUGCUGGGUGGUUUAGUGGCGAACGGGUGAAUAACACGUGAGUAACCUGCCCUUUACUCUGUCGUAAGCCAGGACAACUGGGACUAUUCCCUGAUAGCACAGUCCACCUCCUGGUGGGUGUUGGAAAGCUUCAUCGGUUUUGGAUGGAAUCGCGGCCUAUCCGCUUGUUCGUGUGGUAGUGGCACAGCAAGGCAACGACGGGUAGCCGGCCUGCGAGGGUGACCAGCGACACGGGGACUAAGAGACGGCCCAGACGCGAACGGUAGGCAGAAGGCGGGAACAUUGCACAGUGGGCCCAAGCGUGAGGCGGAGGCGCCGCGUGAGUGAUGACGUCCUGCGGGUUGAGAACCGCUGUCAGUAGAGAAGAAGCGAAUGUGACGGUACCUAAAGAAUAAGCACCGGCUAACUACGUG